GACUCCGUAGCUCAAUGGAUAGAGCGCUACCCUCCGGAGGUAGAGGUUCUGGGUUCGAAUCCCAGCGGGGUCG
rnacentral:tRNA from 1 species